UACGUAGGUGGCAAGCGUUGUCCGGAUUUAUUGGGUUUAAAGGGUGCGUAGGCGGUCUUAUAAGUCAGUGCUGAAAUAUCCCGGCUUAACCGGGAGGGUGGCAUUGAUACUGUAGGACUUGAGUAAAGUUGAGGUUGGCGGAAUUGACGGUGUAGCGGUGAAAUGCUUAGAUAUCGGGAGGAACACCAGUGGCGAAGGCGACUUCCUGGCCUGUUCUUGACGCUGAGGCACGAAAGCUAGGGGAGCAAACAGG
rnacentral:rRNA from 1 species